rnacentral:rRNA from 1 species
UACGUAGGGUGCGAGCGUUGUCCGGAAUUAUUGGGCGUAAAGAGCUCGUAGGCGGCUUGUUGCGUCGGAUGUGAAAGCCCGGGGCUUAACUCCGGGUCUGCAUUCGAUACGGGCAGGCUAGAGUUCGGUAGGGGAGAUCGGAAUUCCUGGUGUAGCGGUGAAAUGCGCAGAUAUCAGGAAGAACACCCGUGGCGAAGGCGGCUCUCUGGGACGGUACUGACGCUGAGACGCGAAAGCGUGGGGAGCGAACAGG